AUAUGACGCCUUGGCCCCUGUGAACUUCGCCAAAUUCAUCAAACUUCAUCUCCUUCAACCUCUCUUUCUUCAAUCUUCUUCUUUAUCUUCUUCUUUUCAGGCUUUCAUCUCUUACAUUUUCUCGUACUUCAAUGGCAAAGAAGAAAAUCGUGUUGAAGUUCGAAUUCAACGAUGACAAAACCAAGCAGAAGGCCAUGAAGAAUGUCUGCAGCCAUUCAGGUGUUGAAUCAGCGUCCGUGGACAUGAAGGAAAAGAAACUGACAGUAGUUGGGGAUGUUGAUAUAAUAAUUAUGGUGAAACAAUUGAGAAAGCUUUGUCACACAGAGUUAGUCACGGUUGGGUCACCAGCAUAAGCAGUAGACAAGAUGAAUGAGGAGAAAGAAAAUGGAGCCAACGAGUGGUGAAAUUAUAAUUCGACUUAAAGUCAAAUUAGAAUAGGUUUUGGAAUUGGAUAAAUAUUAGAAAUUGUUAUUUAUUUAGGCUUCCUAACAAA